rnacentral:rRNA from 1 species
UACGAACCGUCCAAACGUUAUUCGGAAUCACUGGGCUUACAGAGUUCGUAGGCGGUCUGGAAAGUUGGGUGUGAAAUCCCUCGGCUCAACCGAGGAACUGCGCUCAAAACUACCAGACUCGAGGGAGAUAGAGGAAAGCGGAACUGAUGGUGGAGCGGUGAAAUGCGUUGAUAUCAUCAGGAACACCGGUGGCGAAGGCGGCUUUCUGGGUCUUACCUGACGCUGAGGAACGAAAGCCAGGGGAGCGAACGGG